rnacentral:rRNA from 1 species
UGAAUACGAGACGCUAAGGCGUCGAAGUAGUGUAUGUCAUACUUCCAAGAAAAGCUUGCACUGUCAUAGAUAAAAAACGCCUGUACCAUAACCGACACAGGUGGGUAGGUAGAGUAUACUAAGGGGCGCGAGAUAACUCUCUCUAAGGAACUCGGCAAAAUGACUCCGUAACUUCGGGAGAAGGAGUGCCUUAUUCUUAAGGUUGCAAUAACAAGAUCCAAGCAACUGUUUAUCAAAAACACAGGUCUCCGCUAAGUCGUAAGACGAUGUAUGGGGGCUGACGCCUGCCCAGUGCCAGAAGGUUAAAGAAGUUGGUUAGCAUUUGCGAAGCUGAUAACUGAAGCCCUGGUGAACGGCGGCCGUAACAAUAACGGUCCUAAGGUAGCGAAAUUCCUUGUCGGGUAAGUUCCGACCCGCACGAAAGGCGUAAUGAUUUGGAUACUGUCUCGGAGAGGGGCUCGGUGAAAUAGACUUGUCUGUGAAGAUGCGGACUACCUGCACCAGGACAGAAAGACCCUAUGAAGCUUUACUGUAACUUGAAAUUGAAAUUGGACUUUAUUCGCGCAGUAUAGGUGGGAGGCGUUGAUUAUAAUCUUGCGGGAUUAUUGGAGCCAUCAGUGAGAUACCACCCUUGUAAUGUUAGAUUUCUAACUUUGAAUCAUUAUCUGGUCAAAGAACAGUUUCAGGCGGGCAGUUUGACUGGGGCGGUCGCCUCCUAAACGGUAACGGAGGCGUACAAAGGUUUCCUCUGAACGGUUAGAAAUCGUAUCUAGAGUGUAAAGGCAUAAGGAAGCUUGACUGUGAGACCUACAAGUCGAGCAGGGACGAAAGUCGGUCUUAGUGAUCUGACGGUACUGAGUGGAAAGGCCGUCACUCAACGGAUAAAAGUUACUCUAAGGAUAACAGGCUGAUCUCCCCCAAGAGUUCACAUCGACGGGGAGGUUUGGCACCUCGAUGUCGGCUCAUCGCAUCCUGGGGCGGUAGUACGUCCCAAGGGUUGGGCUGUUCGCCCAUGAAAGCGGUACGCGAGCUGGGUUCAGAACGUCGUGAGACAGUUCGGUCCAUAUCCGGUGUAGGCGUUAGAAUAUUGAGAGGAGCCUUCUUUAGUACGAGAGGACCGAGAAGGACAUACCUCUGGUGUACCUGUUAUCGUGCCAACGGUAAACGCUGGGUAGCUAUGUAUGGAGUGGAUAACCGCUGAAAGCAUCUAAGUGGGAAGCCCACCUCAAGAUAAGUAUUCUCAU